rnacentral:rRNA from 1 species
UGGGGAAUAUUGGGCAAUGGGCGAAAGCCUGACCCAGCGAUGCCGCGUGGGUGAUGAAGGCCUUCGGGUUGUAAAACCCUUUCGUGCGGAAAGAAUAGUCCUGUAGCGAAUAACUACGGGAUUUGACGGUACCGCAGGAAGAAGCACCGGCUAACUCCGUGCCAGCAGCCGCGGUAAUACGGAGGGGGCAAGCGUUGUCCGGAUUUAUUGGGCGUAAAGGGCGCGAAGGGGGUUGUGAUAGUCAGAUGUGAAAUCCUUCGGCUCAACCGAAGAAGUGCAUCUGAAACUUCAUAGCACGAGUACAGGGGAGGGAAACGGAAUUCCCGGUGUAGAGGUGGAAUUCGUAGAUAUCGGGAGGAACACCAGUGGCGAAGGAGGUUUCCUGGCCUGAUACUGACGCUG